rnacentral:rRNA from 1 species
GGGGAAUAUUGGACAAUGGGCGCAAGCCUGAUCCAGCAAUGCCGCGUGUGUGAAGAAGGCCUGCGGGUUGUAAAGCACUUUAAGCGGGAAAGAAGGCUCCAAGGCUAAUAUCCUUGGAGAUUGACGUUACCCGCAGAAUAAGCACCGGCUAACUCCGUGCCAGCAGCCGCGGUAAUACGGAGGGUGCGAGCGUUAAUCGGAAUUACUGGGCGUAAAGCGCGCGUAGGCGGUUCGUUAAGUCAGCCGUGAAAGCCCCGGGCUUAACCUGGGAACUGCGGAUGAUACUGGCGGACUAGAGUGUGGCAGAGGGUGGCGGAAUUUCCGGUGUAGCAGUGAAAUGCGUAGAGAUCGGAAGGAACACCAGUGGCGAAGGCGGCCAUCUGGGCCAACACUGACGCUGAGGUGCGAAAGCGUGGGGAGCAAAC